UGAAGAUAAGGAUGCCGAUUAUGAAUACUAGGAGGAUCUAAGGAGUGAGGUCAUGAGGACUACAUCAACUACCUGUGGCUGAGAUGGAGUCGCUACGCAUUUUAGUUUCCGUUGUUUUCUGAUUAUAACAAUGUCAUGAGACAUUACACUUUGUAAGCCAUUGGAUAUUGCGGGCAGCUGGAAGAUGAUCACCCUUGAUGAAGUUGAUCAGGUCAAGAAGCUUCAACACGAACCGACGGACGAUGAGCCUGCCCAUAUGCGGGAUGUUGAUUACAACGAUCUAGAAUCCAUCAAGGAGAUAGCUGAGGAAAUCUUCGACCUGCUCAUCCUGGGAAUCUGGGUGCCGAUUGAGGAUGGCAUCUACAGCUGCACAUUUUGUAACAGAGUCAUCAACACUACUUUCAUCAACGUCUUCAACCACUGCAAGUUUUUACCAGCCGGGGGAUCCACAUGCUGAGUCAAAGAGGGCAAGGCACCUGGGGCUCAGGUGGUACUUGAGCGCCCAUCCAUCGACCCCACUACCAUUCUGAGAUGUCCUUGCGUUGGGAUGUAGCCUGGAAGUACUAGUACUAUUGUUUUUUGUAUGUUGGGAUGUAAGCCUGGAAGUACUAUGGUGGGAUUCCCUUCCCUGAACUACAUGCCUGCCUGUCUUUAUGUUCGAUGUAGA